rnacentral:tRNA from 1 species
AGGAUAUAGCUCAGUGGUAGAGCACUUGCCUAUUAUGUGUGAAAAUCUGAGUUCAAUCCUCAGUACUACUA